CAGCCGCCUCCGCUCGCCCAACCCUCUCCCCGACCUCUCCCUCCCGUGCUAGAACCCUAGCCGCCGCCUCCCUCCCGCACUCGCGCCUCCCCCGCCUCGCCUCUCUCUCUCCCGCGCCUCCCAGCCCCGCCGCCGUCGUCUUCUCGCCCAGCCGGCCGCCGCCGCACGAUGCAGCGCCCAGAUCCACGGCGGGAUCGACGCGGCGUCGUUGACCUGAGCCACUACCGUCGUCGAGGUCCUCCCACCCCCUCUCGCCGUCGCGCCUUCCCCUCCUCCUCGUCCUCUCGCUGCUCAGCAGGAGGAGCACGGCUCGCCGCCGGUUCUCACACGCCGCUUCCCUCCUCCGCCCCUCCCUCGAGCCGCUCCUCACCCACCCACCACGGUCACCUCUCCUCCGACCACGCCGCCGUGCUGCGCGACGCCGAGUGGGCGCCCGCCCUCCCCGUCCCGCGACGGCCGAGAUCCAGUUCGUCGCCAUCGGCCUGAGAAGCGCUUGGGCCGCUGCUCCCCAUCGAGCCUGCGUGUGCGACGCAUCUGAUGGCCAACACAGCCGUGUACAACUCUGCUGCCUCCAGCUCGAGCGCCCAUCUCCACUAUGUCCAGGUUGCCGCUGUCGCGGAGUUGGAUGAGGUCAUGGCUUAGUUGACGAGGUCAACAACUAAUAGAGGGCAAAGUUAAGCAAAUUGUUGGCUCUACUCUCCGGGAUGCAUCGAAUGAUGGCACGACACGGGUGACAAAAGUCUCCAUCAGAAUUUGCAAAUAUUUACAAAGAAGAUGGACUGGUUGGUGGGCAUGUCAUAAUGCUUGGCGGAGACCCUGCAAGCUGCUAUGCUGCCCUGGAAGCACUCCUCUUCCUGCCUCACCACCUGUUCAGGAACCGUAUCAUAAGUGGCGCCUUCUUCCGCGAACAGUUGCGGUGCUCGCUGUCGGCGUCAGACUCCCAAGGCAAGUGAGGAUGACCACGACGCGGAGGAGGACGAGGACCCGAGCUCGAUUCCGACCACGACGCACCGCACAAGGUCCCUGCUUCCUUCCUGACGGCAAUGGAUCCCUUCCUUGCAGUUGCCUGGGUUGCUGACGAGAUCCAUCUGCCCGGCUGGAGCCUGUUAUUCUCUUGAUGGAAGUCAGCCCAAUUGUAGUUCAGACGGUGCCGUGCCGUUGGGGUUGCCUUGCCGGUCGACCGGAGAUGGAGCUUAUCGUUUGAGCCUCUGCCCUCCCCGUCGAGGUUGCUCCUCACCAUCGCAGGCACGGUCUGGUCGGGGCCACGACAACGAGAGGAGCAGCAGAGGAUAACUUUUCCCCACGGAUCCUUCUCGUCUUCCAUGUGAUUCGAGUCGCCUCUCUCCGUCAGAUCCUGCACGGACCUCCCUGUCAGGCCCCUCUUGCCGCCCGUCGACACGUCCUUCGAUCUUGUUGUGUUGAUCAUGGGGACCAUUCCAUUUGAAGAGGCUCAUGCUGCCCGGAUUUCAUUAAGCAAGCCAUCUAUGUCCCAAAGUUGAGGACCGUUUGGAGAAGAGGCUACCCAGACAAUUUAAACAGAUGCAGGAUAUGAUUAGGCGCACAUAUACAAGUAUCUUUAUGACGACACCUGCACCAGUUUUCAUCGUUGUUGUUCUUGCCUGUUGCCUCCCCCCCCUAUCGCUUUGCUAGGUGAGAGACCCCUCUCCUUUCCUGUUAGAAAAUACCAAGUAUUUGCAAUGCUUGAUUGUUAUGCCAACUUUUCUUAGAACCUUGGUGCAUGGGCCAUACAGCGAUCUCCAUACUACAAUUUAGAAUUAUAAGAAAUUGCAUCCUCUAUUUAUUUAGGAAUCUAGGUUUGUAUUUUUCUGAUUUGGUUUUUGCUUUCUGGUUAUUUGGUACCGUGCGCCAUGAUGUACUUCCUGUCUAUCAUGCUUGGGUUUGUAGCUUUGUGGAGACAUGGAACCGAAGUCAUGAGGUGGACAUUAUCAUUUUGUUAGACUGGGUGUGGAAUUGCAAGUUACUCCAUUGGCAACCACAUACAGACCCGCACCAACUAUCAUCAUAAAUAGAUUAUUUCCAUGCUCUAAGUCAGUCUGUUAGGGGAAAAUCAAAGGCAUGUGGGCACCUGAUCUAUUUGUAACAUCGACAUGUGAUGUGUGCAACUAAAAAAAUGUUAGGCUAUGAUAGCAAUUCUUUUCAACACAUGUUCUCAUACAUUCUGGAUAUACUUCCUGCUAAAAUGACAUAUAUAUUUUCUUUUACAUGUCGCCUUUAUA